ensembl:lncRNA
AUGAGGAGGAGGAUCUUAUUGAUUGGGAAUCGGAACUGGAAAUUGAACUGCCCCCUCUCCUCUCGCCGGUGUCUCCGCUGGUCCUGUCCAGCCCUCCUUCAUCCUUGGUUUCCUCGUCCAGCCCUGAGGGGGUUUAUGAUUCUCCAGUGCCUGCUCCUAGAAUGUGUCUUCCAGUGCCAGCUCCUAGAAUGUGCCCUCCAGUGGCCUCUCCUCCAAAAUGCCCGCCCUCCCACCCGCUCCUGCCUCCUCCACCGCUGUCAUCUGGCAGCCCCUCUGCUCGCCCUUAGCCCACCAUCUAUGCGGUGCGAGCCCUGCGGGACCACCAUCCUCCAGCGUCGCCGUGGUCGGAGUCUCCCUCACCUCUGCCUCCGAGGCCCGAACUCCCCCUCGGUCCGGGCCUCGACCCGUCAUCGCCUCUGGACUCCUCUCCACUGGCUGUGCCUAGUCGCUCUGUCCCAACAGCUCCGUUGGGCUCCUUCCUCCCGCCAGCUCCACCUGGGUUCUCAGUUGUUCUGGCUCUGGCGCGGAUCUCUGGAUCUCCGCCUCGGUCACCAGAGCCCUCGGCUCCACGCUGGCCCCCCGGAUCCUCGGUAUCCCCCUGGCUCGUUGGCUCGCCGUCUCCUCCUCGGGCUACUGCUCCGCUGCCGUUGGUCAGCCCCCUGGAGUCAGCAACCAUUCCUCCUCCAUGGUUCCUCCCACCGUCGGCUCCACCUUGGGCUGCUGUUAUGGCUGUGGCCUGGGUCCUGCUGGGCUCCUCCUGCUCCAAGCUCCUCCUGUCUCCUCCCUGGCUCCUCCUUCCAUGGUCUCUGUCUUCCGGGCCCCCUUCCAGGGGUUUGUCCUCCACCGGAGCCUCCUCCCAAGCUCCCACCUAUGCCUCCUGUUGUUGCCUACGGUGUGAGGAUGCACCUUCCGAGAGGGGGGCGGAAUGUUAGGAUUGGACCUGUUGUCAUGUGUGUCAGUUCCUGUUUUGCCUUAUUUGGUCUGUUUCCUGUCCUUGUUCAGUUUGAUUAUUAA